rnacentral:rRNA from 1 species
GAUGAACGCUGGCGGCGUGCCUAAUACAUGCAAGUCGAGCGAACAGACGAGGAGCUUUCUCCUCUGACGUUAGCGGCGGACGGGUGAGUAACACGUGGAUAACCUACCUAUAAGACUGGGAUAACUUCGGGAAACCGGAGCUAAUACCGGAGAAUAUAUUGAACCGCAUGGUUCAAUAGUGAAGGACGGUUUUGCUGUCACUUAUAGAUGGAUCCGCGCCGCAUUAGCUAGUUGGUAGGGUAACGGCGUACCAAGGCAGCGAUGCGUAGCCGACCUGAGAGGGUGAUCGGCCACACUGGAGCUGAGACACGGUCCAGACUCCUACGGGAGGAAGCAGUAGGGAAUCUUACGCAAUGGGGGAAAGACUGACGGAGCAACGCCGCGUGAGUGAUGAAGGUCUUCGGAUCGUAAAAAUCUGUUAUUAGGGAAGAACCAAUGUGUAAGUAAUUAUGCACGUCUUGACGGUACCUAAUCAGAAAGCCACGGCUAACUACGUG